rnacentral:rRNA from 1 species
GGGGUCGGUGGACAGGUGGUGCAUGGUUGUCGUCAGCUCGUGUCGUGAGAUUUUGGGUUAAGUCCCGCAACGAGCGCACCCCUCGUUCCAUGUUGCCAGCGGGUUAUGCCGGGGACUCAUGGGAGACUGCCGGGGUCAACUCGGAGGAAGGUGGGGAUGACGUCAAAUCAUCAUGCCCCUUUUGUCUUGGGCUUCACGCAUGCUACAAUGGCCGGUACAAAGGGUUGCGAUACUGUGAGGUGGAGCUAAUCCCAAAAAGCCGGUCUCAGUUCGGAUUGAGGUCUGCAACUCGACCUCAUGAAGUCGGAGUCGCUAGUAAUCGCAGAUCAGCAACGCUGCGGUGAAUACGUUCCCGGGCCUUGUACACACCGCCCGUCAAGUCACGAAAGUUGGUAACACCCGAAGCCGGUGGCCUAACCCCUGGGGGAGGGAGCCGUCGAAGGUGG